GUUAGAGGUGUUAGGAGAGUAAGUGCUCUUUGAAGAGCUCUGUCUUCAGGAGUUUAUUAAAGAUAGUGAGAGAUUCUCCUGAUCUGGUAGUAGAAGGUAGUUAGUUAGAGGUGUUAGGAGAGUAAGUGCUCUUUGAAGAGCUCUGUCUUCAGGAGUUUAUUAAAGAUAGUGAGAGAUUCUCCUGAUCUGGUAGUAGAAGGUAGUUAGUUAGAGGUGUUAGGAGAGUAAGUGCUCUUUGAAGAGCUCUGUCUUCAGGAGUUUAUUAAAGAUAGUGAGAGAUUCUCCUGAUCUGGUAGUAGAAGGUAGUUAGUUAGAGGUGUUAGGAGAGUAAGUGCUCUUUGAAGAGCUCUGUCUUCAGGAGUUUAUUAAAGAUAGUGAGAGAUUCUCCUGAUCUGGUAGUAGAAGGUAGUUUGUUAGAGGUGUUAGGAGAGUAAGUGCUCUUUGAAGAGCUCUGUCUUCAGGAGUUUAUUAAAGAUAGUGAGAGAUUCUCCUGAUCUGGUAGUAGAAGGUAGUUUGUUAGAGGUGUUAGGAGAGUAAGUGCUCUAUGAAGAGCUCUGUCUUCAGGAGUUUAUUAAAGAUAGCGAGAGAUUCUCCUGAUCUGGUAGUAGAAGGUAGUUAGUUAGAGGUGUUAGGAGAGUAGGUGCUCUUUGAAGAGCUCUGUCUUCAGGAGUUUAUUAAAGAUAGCGAGAGAUUCUCCUGAUCUGGUAGUAGAAGGUAGUUUGU